rnacentral:lncRNA from 1 species
UAAGUUUAAGAAGCUUAGAUAAAGGCUUAUCGAAGCAUCUGGUAUUAGAAAUCUGAAUUUCAGAAAUCCAAUAGGCUUUGUUUUCUGGAAGUUCAUUUGUUCUCUAAAUACAUGUCAAAGCUAGUGGGAGCAUAAGUGUUAUGAUUAUUAUGGCAGGUAUUGCAAGUUAGCAAUAUUAAUUAUAGAAAAACAAAGAUUCAAUUUGCAAAGUUGCAUGGGUUGAAAAGUUGUUUUGAUAUAAUUAAGGGAGAGAAUAUUAUACUUCGUUUCAAAAUCUAAAGCUUAGAUUGAGAAAUUUUAAUAUUUUCAGUCAAAGGAUACAUUGUGUGUUCUUAAAAUUCGAUUAUGAUUACGGCAUNUUCGAUUAUGAUUACGACAUCCCUCUUCAUAGUUCGAAUUGUGAGAACAUGACACAUAAAAUAUUAUGGCAAAAGAUUGGUAAGGUAUCAUAUCUUUAUGUAAGACAUUAUGCAUCGUGUCCCAUACACUUCGGGUAUAGGAUCGAUUGCAAAUGCUAUAAUAAUUUACCAUUCUAAAAUUUUUCAAAUGUCUAGCGCAUUAAGAGGGAAAAAGGACUAGAAUGGAUUUUUGACUAAAAUUAUUAAACAACUAUCAAAUGACGAUCCAAAGUUC